rnacentral:rRNA from 1 species
GAUGAACGCUGGCGGCGUGCCUAAUACAUGCAAGUCGAGCGAACGGACGAGAAGCUUGCUUUUCUGAUGUUAGCGGCGGACGGGUGAGUAACAAGAGGAUAACCUACCUAUAAGACUCGGCUAACUUCGGGAAACCGGAGCUAAUACCGGAUAAUAUUUUGAACCGCAUGAUUCAAAAGUGAAAGACGGUCUUGCUGUCACUUAUAGAUGGAUACGCGCUGCAUUAUCUAGUUGGUAAGGUAACGGCUUACCAAGGCAACGAUGCAGAGCCGACCUGAGAGGGUGAUCGGCCACACUGGAACUGAGACACGGUCCAGACUCCUACUGGAGGCAGCAGUAGGGAAGCUUCCGCAAUGGGCGAAAGCCGGACGGUGCAACACCGCGUGAGUGAUGAAGGUCUUCGGAUCGGAGAACUCUGUUAUUAGGGAAGAACAUAUGUGUAAGUAACUGUGCACAUCUUGACGGUACCUAAUCAGAAAGCCACGGCUAACUACGUG